rnacentral:rRNA from 1 species
UGGGGAAUUUUGGACAAUGGGGGAAACCCUGAUCCAGCCAUCCCGCGUGUGCGAUGAAGGCCUUCGGGUUGUAAAGCACUUUUGGCAGGAAAGAAACGUCAUGGGUUAAUACCCCGUGAAACUGACGGUACCUGCAGAAUAAGCACCGGCUAACUACGUGCCAGCAGCCGCGGUAAUACGCAGGGUGCAAGCGUUAAUCGGAAUUACUGGGCGUAAAGCGUGCGCAGGCGGUUCGGAAAGAAAGAUGUGAAAUCCCAGAGCUCAACUUUGGAACUGCAUUUUUAACUACCGGGCUAGAGUGUGUCAGAGGGAGGUUGAAUUCCGCGUGUAGCAGUGAAAUGCGUAGAUAUGCGGAGGAACACCGAUGGCGAAGGCAGCCUCCUGGGAUAACACUGACGCUCAUGCACGAAAGCGUGGGGAGCAAACAGG